rnacentral:rRNA from 1 species
GAGUUUGAUCCUGGCUCAGGACGAACGCUGGCGGCGUGCCUAAUACAUGCAAGUCGAGCGGAUCUUCAUUAGCUUGCUUUUGAAGAUCAGCGGCGGACGGGUGAGUAACACGUGGGCAACCUGCCUGUAAGACUGGGAUAACUUCGGGAAACCGGAGCUAAUACCGGAUAAUCCUUUUCCUCUCAUGAGGAAAAGCUGAAAGACGGUUUCGGCUGUCGCUUACAGAUGGGCCCGCGGCGCAUUAGCUAGUUGGUGAGGUAACGGCUCACCAAGGCGACGAUGCGUAGCCGACCUGAGAGGGUGAUCGGCCACACUGGGACUGAGACACGGCCCAGACUCCUACGGGAGGCAGCAGUAGGGAAUCUUCCGCAAUGGACGAAAGUCUGACGGAGCAACGCCGCGUGAGCGAUGAAGGCCUU